rnacentral:tRNA from 1 species
GCAUCGGUGGCUCAGUGGUAGAAUGCUCGCCUGCCACGCGGGCGGCCCAGGUUCGUCGAUUCCCGGCCUAUGCA